GAUGAACGCUGGCGGCGUGCUUAACACAUGCAAGUCGAACGGUGAAGCAGGAGCUUGCUCUUGUGGAUCAGUGGCGAACGGGUGAGUAACACGUGAGCAACCUGCACCUGACUCUGGGAUAAGCGCUGGAAACGGCGACUAAUACUGGAUAUGUGAUGUGACCGCAUGGUCUGCAUCUGGAAAGACUGUAGGUUGGGGAUGGGCUCGCGGCCUAUCAGCUUGCUGGUGAGGUAAUGGCUCACCAAGGCGUCGGCGGGUAGCCGGCCUGAGAGGGUGACCGGCCACACUGGGACUGAAACACGGCCCAGACUCCUACGGGAGGCAGCAGUGGGGAAUAUUGCACAAUGGGCGGAAGCCUGAUGCAGCAACGCCGCGUGAGGGAUGACGGCCUUCGGGUUGUAAACCUCUUUUAGCAGGGAAGAAGCGAAAGUGACGGUACCUGCAGAAAAAGCACCGGCUAACUACGUGCCAGCCGCCGCGGUAA
rnacentral:rRNA from 1 species